rnacentral:lncRNA from 12 species
UUCCUGCCCCGUCUCCAUGGACUGCGGUGCGUAACAGCUCUGUAGCACCAAGCAUUUGUCACUGGGCUACAAAGGCAGGGCAUAUGCAAGCCAGGCCACCUGCGUGCAGAGGCCUGCUGAAUUUACCAGCCAGCGUGUGUAGAUAUGGAGAGGUCCAGACUGAACUCAGUGGCGAGCUCAUGCUCAGAUAAGCAAGGAAGUCAUAGAAGAAGAUUAGGACCCAGCGAGCAGGAAGUCUUUCAUAGAAGAAAGAUUAAGACCCACAGAAUAAGUCAGCCUGUGGUAACCAAGAGGGUCUCCACUUCGUGAGGUUCCAUUUGUGCAUCAUGAAUGUCUCCAAAUCCCAAGCGCCUGUGGAAGGCCCUUCUAUGCCAUUUUACAAACGAAUCUUCUCGAGGCCUUUUCAAGGAGUCUAUCAUUUACUCUUAGGAAAUGCC